GUUGGGAAGUAAGCAAGUGGCUGUAUGGUGCUUAGCUGCUAACUGGGGUUGAUCCACGACAGUUCUUUGUAAAUCCUAAUGGUAAUGCCCCACGCACUCAGCAUCUGAAUGGUGGGACAGAACCAGCAUCCACUGAGCAUUUGCAGGUUAGGAGUGCAGCAGCAUCCGCGGGGAUUAGCCAUGGAUGUUUAGAAGAAAUCAUUAGUAUGCUGACGAAUCCCUUGGAAGGACACCUGCCAUGUUGUUUGGACUCAGCAAACCCAGUUACAAAUACACAGUAGAAGAAUACAACAGGACACAGAGCCAGGAACAUGGAGAUGGUAGAGAGAGCUCUGAGAGAAAUGACAUGGACUCUGAUUGAAGAAAGCCAACUUGGGGUAGAGGGUGUUGAAGACAGAUCAGUUAAGAAUACAGUGGUGAAACACAAGUUUCAGAAAUACAGUCACUGAAGGCAGACAUUUCAUUCAUCUACAUGCAAAUCGCCACUAUAAACCAUGCUUGAGUCUCACAGGGAAGAUUGCAAGUGACACAACCUCCAAGCAAAACUGGGAGCUCAGCCUGCAUAACAACUGCUGGCUUGAAGUUGCAACGUAGGCAGCAGAUCCCUAUUGCCAACAUCUCUGGUGUCUGGUCUGAUGUGGCAGCAGUUCUAUAUGUGCCUCCAAAAGAGGCAGCUGAGCUAUGAUCUGUCCACCUCAUUCCUGUGCUUCAGCAGCUCCGCUUGGAGAUCAAGUCGGGUUUUGCCAGGCACUGCACAAACAUGAAAUAAAAAAUGGUCUUUACCAGCAAGAACCUACUUUCAGUUCAUGAGAGAUGAUAGCAGAUAGUGCACUGCAAGUGAACUGGCAGCGCUCAUGCCUCCGUAUGAGCUGGCAAGGACGAAGCAGCUGUGAAAGAGGGAGCUGAGUCUUCAGUACUACAUGCUUUCCCCAAACUCCAGUGUUCAAAAACACCAUGACCUAUAUAGCUUUGGACUUCGGCAUUUUUCAGCAGUUUAAGGAUUGACAGGUCAUUUCUGGCACUUUUCCCCUCUGCUGAAAGACAUAUUUUUUAGUUGUUGACAAAAAAGAAAAAAAAAAAAAAAAAGAAAAAAUAAAUUCUGGAUUGCAAUCUAUGUCCUUUUUAAUGGUUUAAAAUGUCUCUUCUGCAGAAGAGCUAGCCACUCUUUCAUCAAACCUGCAAAGGUAGGUUCUACCAUGUUAUUAUAAGAAGUCUGUGCUAAAUGCUUUGACAAAAACCCUGCAUACUCUGAAAUGAAAUCUUAUUUACUGUGGUGUUAUUAAAGUGCUAAGUAAACAGACAAACUCAGAAGGGCUGGUAGGAUGUGGGUGGAUGAAUAAAUGAGCUUUGAUGCCAAUGUCAGUCAAUGCUAAUUUGUAUCCUUUGAAGAAAUUGUGAUAAACACAGCUGCCAGAAGUGUGAUCUGAAAUUUCUCUAAUUAAAUUAAAUUUCACUGGAAUAAAA